rnacentral:misc_RNA from 1 species
AAGACUAUAGACCUGCGGAGUACCUGCGGAAGGAUCAUUAUCGUAUUGUAACAAUUGGGGGGGCCACCGUGGGCUGUCGCUGACCCUUUGAAAGGGGGGUCGUGCACGCCCCCAUAGUGUCAUCCUCAUACAAUCCAACUCACCUCUGUGCAUCACCGCGUGGGUUCCUUUCUGGGUCGAGUCAGACUGGCUCAGAAAAAGGGGCUUGCGUUUUCCAUACAAAUACCCUUAUAAAUCCAG